AACGAACGCUGGCGGCGCGCCUAAUACAUGCAAGUCGAGCGAGAAAGUGUAGCAAUACACUUGUAAAGCGGCGAACGGGUGAGGAAUACAUGGGUAAUCUACCAUCGAGUGGGGAAUAACCAACCGAAAGGUUGGCUAAUACCGCGUACGCCUCCGAGUCUUCGGGUUCGGAGGGAAAGCUGCACUGUGAGUGUAGCGCUCUUUGAUGAGCUCAUGUCCUAUCAGCUUGUUGGUAGGGUAAUGGCCUACCAAGGCUUUGACGGGUAGCUGGUCUGAGAGGACGAUCAGCCACACUGGCACUGCGACACGGGCCAGACUCCUACGGGAGGCAGCAGUAAGGAAUAUUGCGCAAUGGGCGAAAGCCUGACGCAGCGACGCCGCGUGGGGGAUGAAGGUCUUCGGAUUGUAAACCCCUUUCGGGAGGGAAGAUGGAGCGAGCAAUCGUUCGGACGGUACCUCCAGAAGCAGCCACGGCCAACUUCGUGCCAGC
rnacentral:rRNA from 1 species